GAAGCGUAACAGCUCACUGGUCGACGCCCUGCCGCGCCCAAAAUUAUCGGGGCUAAGCGCGCCGCCGAAGCCGUGGAUUCCAUAGCGAUAUGGAGUGGUAGGAGAGCGUCCCGUAUGCCUGGGAAGGCGGCAGGCGAUUGCCGCUGGAGGCAUCGGGAAUGAGAAUGCUGGCAUGAGUAUGCGAAAACGCGGGUGGAAAGCCCGCGCACCGAUAGCCCGAGGGUUCCCGGGGAAGGUUAGUCCGCCCGGGGUCAGCCGGUCCCUAAGGCGAAGCCGAGAGGCGCGACCGAUGGGAAGGGGGCAAAUAUUCCCCCGCCGGCAUGGAGGCGUCUGACCGAUGCGGCGACGCGCGGGUCGGGGCAUAGCGGCUGAUGGAUAUGCCGCGGAAGUGGAGCAAGGCGUCAGGGCGGCAAAUCCCCCUGGCAUAAGCCUGAGACUACUGACCGGGGGAGGGCUUCGGCCCGAGCCCGAGCUGCCCGUGCCCGCGCCAGGAAAACCCGCUAAGGGAGCUUUCAUGCCGACCGUACCCCAAACCGACACAGGUGGGCUGGGCGAGAAGCCCGAGGUGCUUGAGACAACCCGGGAGAAGGAACUCGGCAAAAUGGCCCCGUAACUUAGGGAAAAGGGGCGCCCUCCGUCGUGAGCGGGAACACCGCGGAGCGAUGGGGGGCCGCAGUGAAAUGGCAGGAGCGACUGUUUACCAAAAACACAGGGCCAUGCGAACCAGCAAUGGGAAGUAUAUGGUCUGACACGUGCCCGGUGCCGGAAGGUUAACGGGAGGCGUCAGGGGGCAACCCCGAAGCGGCGAACCGAAGCCCCGGUAAACGGCGGCCGUAACUAUAACGGUCCUAAGGUAGCGAAAUUCCUUGUCGGGUAAGUUCCGACCUGCACGAAUCGUGUAACGACUCCUGCGCUGUCUCCUCCCGAGACUCAGCGAAAUUGCAGUGCCGGUGAAGAUGCCGGCGCCCCGCGCCUGGACGGAAAGACCCCAUGAACCUUCACUGCAUCUUGGCGUUGGCUUUAGGCGCCGCGUGCGUAGGAUAGGCGGGAGGCUACGAUCCCCGGCUUCUGGGCCGGGGGGAGCCGUCCUUGAAAUACCGCCCCUGCGUCGCCUGAGGCCUAACCGCGCAUCCGAGAAGGAUGCCGGGACAGUGCCUGGUGGCCAGUUUGACUGGGGCGGUCGCCUCCCAAAAAGUAACGGAGGCAUCCAAAGGUCACCUCGGGCCGGUCGGCAACCGGUCCCGCGAGCGCAAAGGCAAAAGGUGGCUUGACUGCGAGACCGACGGGUCGGGCAGAUGCGAAAGCAGGGCUUAGUGAUCCCGCGGCACAGCGUGGAACGGCCGUUGCUCAAUGGAUAAAAGGUACUCUGGGGAUAACAGGCUGAUCUCCCCCAAGCGUCCAUAGCGACGGGGAGGUUUGGCACCUCGAUGUCGGCUCGUCGCAUCCUGGGGCUGGAGAAGGUCCCAAGGGUUUGGCUGUUCGCCAAUUAAAGCGGCACGCGAGCUGGGUUCAGAACGUCGUGAGACAGUUCGGUCCCUAUCCGGCGCGGGCGUGGUAGGUUUGAGGGACGCCGUCCUUAGUACGAGAGGACCGGGACGGGGGCGCCUCCGGCGCACCGGCUGUCGCGCCAGCGGCACGGCCGGGUAGCCGCGCGCCCUGCGGAGAAGCGCUGAAUGCAUCUAAGCGCGAAACCGCUCCCAAGAUGAGACCUUCCGGAUACGCCGGAGAACACGGCGUGGAUAGGGGGCAGGCGAAAGCGGGGCAACCCGUUCAACCAAGCCCUACUAAUAAAUCCUGAUUACGCUAUC
rnacentral:rRNA from 1 species